UACGUAGGUGGCAAGCGUUGUCCGGAUUUACUGGGCGUAAAGAGCGCGCAGGCGGUCGAAUAAGUCGAAUGUGAAAGCCCCCGGCUUAACUGGGGAGGGUCAUUCGAUACUGCUCGACUUGAAGGCAGGAGAGGGUAGUGGAAUUCCCGGCGUAGUGGUGAAAUGCGUAGAUAUCGGGAGGAACACCAGUGGCGAAGGCGACUACCUGGCCUGUUCUUGACGCUGAGGCGCGAAAGCUGGGGGAGCAAACGGG
rnacentral:rRNA from 1 species